rnacentral:rRNA from 1 species
UACGUAGGGGGCAAGCGUUGUCCGGAUUUAUUGGGCGUAAAGAGCGUGUAGGCGGCCGCACAGGUCCGUUGUGAAAACUGGAGGCUUAACCUUCAGACGUCGAUGGAAACCGUGCGGCUAGAGUCCGGAAGAGGAGAGUGGAAUUCCUGGUGUAGCGGUGAAAUGCGCAGAUAUCAGGAAGAACACCCGUGGCUAAGGCGGCUCUCUAGUACGGUACUGACGCUGAGACGCGAAAGCGUGGGGAGCGAACAGG